rnacentral:lncRNA from 1 species
CCACCCCUGAUAUCACCGGCGUAACGCACCAUUCUCCACCAACCUUCUGCCGACCGCCGGCGGUCGGAAAUCGCCUCCGCCAGUGGUGAUACUCCGAUCAACACCAAAUUUACACCCUUGGAUCCUCUCCCUCUCCUCUUUCCAAUUUCCCAAAUACCAGCCUUCGAAUCCUAGCCGAUACCCUCAAAUAUUCGAAUUUGUAGACGCCGUCUCUGCCGCCCACGGCGAUGCCGACACCAAACUACCCAAAUUUCACACCACAUACUCUCCUAGCCUCUCUUUUCCCAAAUCCCAAACCAGAAUCCUCCAAAUCCGAGUGGAGCUUCACGAAUCUUAGAUCUAGGGUUUUGUUGUCAGGACUGUUUGAAUUUCUAGGGUCAACCAGUGUUCGAUUGGUUUUAAAAUUAUGUUAUGUGUUUGUUCUUGGCAUACCAAUUUUAGGCGAGUUUAAAUCUUGAAAUCAGUAAGUCCUUUUCUCUUGUUUUGUUUGAUUUUUAUUUAUCUCGUAUUGCUUUGUUUAUUUUUUGCUAUUUUGAUAACUUCGAUGAUGAUAAUUCCUAUUCAAUCCAUUACUCCUCAUAAUAACUGACUUAGUGUUUAGGAUUUUAAUUUGAUUUCUGUUCUGUUUUUUAGUUCUUUAUUUUGUGUUAAUUCUGAUUGAUUUUAUUUGAUGUGAGUCCGAAUUUUCUAUUGAGUUUGAUGACUGAAAGAAUGAUAUUUUUUUGUUUGAUUUUAAUUGUGGCUUUAGCUUAAAUUUAGCCUUAGGGUUUUAGUGUUAAUUAGGAGUUAUCUUCUGUUUGGUUAAUUAGUUCAAUUAUUAGGUAAUGAUCGAUUAUAGCUGAAUAGUCUUUAGUUUAAUAUUUGCUAACUAUGGUAAACUGAGACCAAGAGGGUUGGUUUAGAUAAUAUGGGUUUGGUAAUUUCAAAAUAAGGUUAGGGUAGUGUAGGUAUUUCAAUCUUGCAAGUAAUAGGAAUAGAAUUCCCUAGAAUAUUCCAGAUCGGGUUCAAAAUGGAAUUUCAGAAAAUUAGCAGUGUAACUUGAGAAACAAGUCAGCAAAUAAAGGUCAAACUAGCUAAAAAGCGAAAGUAAAAGAGGGACUAGGGGUGUAAAACAGAAAAUCUGAAAAGAGCCUUAGUUUUGCCUAUAAAAGGGCAUGCAUUCUGUCUUCCUUCACAAGUUUUAGAGAUCUGAAAGUUUGAAUAUCAAAAUUGAACACCAAAUUUUAAAUCCUAGAGUUAGGAAAGUUUAUUUUAGAUCUUAGUUCUUCAAAAACCCAAAAUAACAGAAAAACAAAAACAAAAAUCCAAAAAAUACUGUUCCAUUGAAGCUUUCUUAGGUUGAGUGUGAAUUCCAGCUUUUUAAGUCAAAUUCUCAAGUUCAAAGGAUCCUGGGUUGAUUUCGAGUGUGUUCUGGUUCAGUCAGAUCUGUUUUCCAUUGUUUAUUGGUGUUAUCCUUUUGCAAAUUAUUCCUAGGUUGCUUGGACACUGUUUUGGGUUGAAAUUGGUCCUGCUGUUUGGUUUUAACUGCUGCUCGUUUACUACUGCUGAUUCCUCUUUCUUCUUAUUGUGUUCUGACUCCCAGGUAGACAUCCUGAUGUUAUUGCAAUGUAGAUCUCAAGUUGAAGAAAAAUGAAAUAAAGUUGAUGCAUG